UCCUGAGAGACACCACAUUUUCCAGGCAGUUCUGGAUGAAGGCGCCAGCUGAAAUGUACGGCUAUAUUUAUUUGCACAUCCCUGCUAAGAGACCUUUCCGAUUUCAUUUGCAUUCGGCAGAGACCAGCUGUGUGCUGUCAGCUUCACGGCUGUUGCGGUAUCCCGACGCUUUUCUUGUCUCAAACAGGGAGCGCAGGGGCCUGAGGCGGCGGUUUAGGAACCGUUGCCUCUGUGGAGGCGGGAACGGGCGCUGUGCUGGCUUUAAACGCACGCAACAGCGCCGCCCAAAGGCCGAGGUGCGCGCCGCACUCUGCACGGCUCCCCAGCCACCGCCCCUACGCCGCGGAGGGUGACGGGGGAGCGGCAGCCGCUGGGCGUCCGCCUCUUCGCGGCGGAGUUGGCUCAGCGCGACACCGGCUGCGCUGCGCUCCUGCUGCGCUGCUCCCUCCGCAAAGCUCCACACCGUCCGUUCCCCAGCUCCCGCUCCGCGCUGCACUGCCCGCACGGCCUGGAAUACGCCUUCCUCCUUGAGCGAUCUGGUCUGAUGGAAGGUGUCCCUGCCUAUGAUGGAGGUGGGGUUGCAUCCAGGUGCUGGAACGGCUCCGGUUCUUUUGAAACAGCACUAAAAUAGAGAACCCAGAGCUUUUUCUUCAGUUGAUAAUCCUUCCAUUAAACGAAGUCCUUAGCCACUCAGCUUUUAGGAUUGUAAGGAAAAACUUAAUUGUAUGUUAAAUCCCUAUCAGAGAGUUGAGUCUCUCUUAGGUGCUUCCUCUCAAUGUAAAGGAAGGAAAGACUUGGUUGCUGUAUCUUUAAACCAUCAAUCAGUAUGGUUCCUUCACGAAUACCUGUGAAUUAGACUUCUUCUUUUCACAUUGAGGUGACUGAAACAUGUUGGAGCCUGUUUGAGUUUCCCAGAACACAGCUGAGGUCUUGCCUUCUGUAAUAAAAUCAACCAACCCCAGAAUAUUUGAGAAAUACAGCCUGUAAAAAGAAAGAGACUGAGAGAAAGCAGAGACAGAAGCAGAGCUGUUGUCCUACAUGCACUGAAUCACAGAAUCAACCAGGUUGGAAGAGACCUCCAAGAUUAUCCAGUCCAAUCUAUCACCCAGCCCUGUCCAAUCAACUAGACCAUGGCACUAAGUGAACGUGAUACUUAAAAAAGAAGUGGAGUAUCCUGGGCCUGAGAGGAGCCAUGCUAUUAGUCCCAGUAAUGGGCAUUGACUUCUAGUUGAAUAGAAUUAAAAGCUUUUAGCAAUAAUUCUUCCCUUGGUGGUUGUGCACUCCAUAUUUAAUUGUAAGCAGAAGAGCUGUUUGACUGCCUUUAAAAAAAUAUUAUUUUCCAAGUAGUUUGAUAGUUUCCCCUCCUUUAAACUCAAAAUGAUCAAGACAGAUCAUGUAAUUGUAGCUGCAUUCCAAA